AUUCCUGUGCUGCCAGUUAACCUUGGAUCAGGGAAUUUACUAGUCUGAAGGAGGAUCUUCAGAAGAGACUGUCAGAAAAGGAAGACGGUGCAUCUGUUCUGCUUAACAUCUUACAGACCCAUACUGCUUGUGCUUAAACACUAACUCCUAGGUCUGCUUCUGCCCUUGAGGUAUCCAGGUACCAUUGUGCACUGAGCAGGACUGAAAAGAACAAAGUUUAUUCUGG
rnacentral:sRNA from 1 species